rnacentral:rRNA from 1 species
UACGGAGGGUGCAAGCGUUUUUCGGAAUCAUUGGGCGUAAAGGGCGCGUAGGCGGUCCGGUAAGUCGGGUGUGAAAGCCCCGGGCUCAACCCGGGAAGUGCAUUCGAAACUGCCGGACUUGAGUACGGGAGGGGGAAGUGGAAUUCCUGGUGUAGGGGUGAAAUCCGUAGAUAUCAGGAGGAACACCGGUGGCGAAGGCGACUUCCUGGACCAAUACUGACGCUGAGGCGCGAAGGCGUGGGGAACAAACAGG